rnacentral:rRNA from 1 species
AACGAACGCUGGCGGCAUGCCUAACACAUGCAAGUCGAACGAGAUCUUCGGGUCUAGUGGCGCACGGGUGCGUAGCGCGUGGGAAUCUGCCCUUUGGUUCGGAAUAACAGUUGGAAACGACUGCUAAUACCGGAUGAUGACGAAAGUCCAAAGAUUUAUCGCCAGAGGAUGAGCCCGCGUAGGAUUAGCUAGUUGGUGUGGUAAAGGCGCACCAAGGCGACGAUCCUUAGCUGGUCUGAGAGGAUGAUCAGCCACACUGGGACUAAGACACGGCCCAGACUCCUACGGGAGGCAGCAGUGGGGAAUAUUGGACAAUGGGCGAAAGCCUGAUCCAGCAAUGCCGCGUGAGUGAUGAAGGCCUUAGGGUUGUAAAGCUCUUUUACCCGGGAUGAUAAUGACAGUACCGGGAGAAUAAGCUCCGGCUAACUCCGUGCCAGCCGCCGCAGUAA